AACGAACGCUGGCGGCAGGCCUAACACAUGCAAGUCGAGCGAACCCUUCGGGGUUAGCGGCGGACGGGUUAGUAACGCGUGGGAAUAUACCCUUUGGUACGGAAUAGCCUCGGGAAACUGAGAGUAAGACCGUAUGUGCCCUUCGGGGAAAGGAUUAUCGCCAAAGGAUUAGCCCGCGUUGGAUUAGAUAGUUGGUGGGGUAAGUGGCCUACCAAGUCUACGAUCCAUAGCUGGUUUGAGAGGAUGAUCAGCAACACUGGGACUGAGACACGGCCCAGACUCCUACGGGAGGCAGCAGUGGGGAAUCUUAGACAAUGGGCGCAAGCCUGAUCUAGCCAUGCCGCGUGGACGAUGAAGGGCCUUAGGGUUGUAAAGUCCUUUCAGAUGGGAAGAUAAUGACGGUACCAUCAGAAGAAGCCCCGGCUAACUCCGUGCCAGCAGCCGCGGUAAUGUACAGUGU
rnacentral:rRNA from 1 species